CCUACGGGCGGCAGCAGUGGGGGAUAUUGCACAAUGGGGGGAACCCUGAUGCAGCGACGCCGCGUGGGUGAAGGAGUGCUUCGGCAUGUAAAGCCCUAUCGGCAGGGAAGAAGCAAGACGGUACCUGACUAAGAAGCCCCGGCUAACUACGUGCCAGCAGCCGCGGGAAUACGUAGGGGGCGAGCGUUAUCCGGAUUCACUGGGUGUACAGGGAGCGUAGACGGCCAUGCAAGCCAGGGGUGAAAGCCCGGGGCCCAACCCCGGCACUGCCCUUGGAACUGCGUGGCUGGAGUGCGGGAGGGGCAGGCGGAAUUCCUGGUGUAGCGGUGAAAUGCGUAGAUAGCAGGAGGAACACCGGCGGCGAAGGCGGCCUGCUGGACCGCGACUGACGUUGAGGCUCGAAAGCGUGGGGAGCGAACAGGAUUAGAUACCCCAGUAGUC
rnacentral:rRNA from 1 species